UGCAAGUCGAGCGGAAACGAGUUAUCUGAACCUUCGGGGAACGAUAACGGCGUCGAGCGGCGGACGGGUGAGUAAUGCCUAGGAAAUUGCCCUGAUGUGGGGGAUAACCAUUGGAAACGAUGGCUAAUACCGCAUGAUGCCUACGGGCCAAAGAGGGGGACCUUCGGGCCUCUCGCGUCAGGAUAUGCCUAGGUGGGAUUAGCUAGUUGGUGAGGUAAGGGCUCACCAAGGCGACGAUCCCUAGCUGGUCUGAGAGGAUGAUCAGCCACACUGGAACUGAGACACGGUCCAGACUCCUACGGGAGGCAGCAGUGGGGAAUAUUGCACAAUGGGCGCAAGCCUGAUGCAGCCAUGCCGCGUGUGUGAAGAAGGCCUUCGGGUUGUAAAGCACUUUCAGUCGUGAGGAAGGUAGUGUAGUUAAUAGCUGCAUUAUUUGACGUUAGCGACAGAAGAAGCACCGGCUAACUCCGUGCCAGCAGCCGCGGUAAUACGGAGGGUGCGAGCGUUAAUCGGAAUUACUGGGCGUAAAGCGCAUGCAGGUGGUUUGUUAAGUCAGAUGUGAAAGCCCGGGGCUCAACCUCGGAAUAGCAUUUGAAACUGGCAGACUAGAGUACUGUAGAGGGGGGUAGAAUUUCAGGUGUAGCGGUGAAAUGCGUAGAGAUCUGAAGGAAUACCGGUGGCGAAGGCGGCCCCCUGGACAGAUACUGACACUCAGAUGCGAAAGCGUGGGGAGCAAACAGGAUUAGAUACCCUGGUAGUCCACGCCGUAAACGAUGUCUACUUGGAGGUUGUGGCCUUGAGCCGUGGCUUUCGGAGCUAACGCGUUAAGUAGACCGCCUGGGGAGUACGGUCGCAAGAUUAAAACUCAAAUGAAUUGACGGGGGCCCGCACAAGCGGUGGAGCAUGUGGUUUAAUUCGAUGCAACGCGAAGAACCUUACCUACUCUUGACAUCCAGAGAACUUUCCAGAGAUGGAUUGGUGCCUUCGGGAACUCUGAGACAGGUGCUGCAUGGCUGUCGUCAGCUCGUGUUGUGAAAUGUUGGGUUAAGUCCCGCAACGAGCGCAACCCUUAUCCUUGUUUGCCAGCGAGUAAUGUCGGGAACUCCAGGGAGACUGCCGGUGAUAAACCGGAGGAAGGUGGGGACGACGUCAAGUCAUCAUGGCCCUUACGAGUAGGGCUACACACGUGCUACAAUGGCGCAUACAGAGGGCGGCCAACUUGCGAAAGUGAGCGAAUCCCAAAAAGUGCGUCGUAGUCCGGAUUGGAGUCUGCAACUCGACUCCAUGAAGUCGGAAUCGCUAGUAAUCGUGGAUCAGAAUGCCACGGUGAAUACGUUCCCGGGCCUUGUACACACCGCCCGUCACACCAUGGGAGUGGGCUGCAAAAGAAGUAGGUAGUUUAACCUUCGGGGGGACGCUUACCAC
rnacentral:rRNA from 1 species